rnacentral:rRNA from 1 species
UACAGAGGUGCCGAGCGUUAGGCGGAAUCAGCUGGGCUUAAAGCGUGUGUAGGCGGACGCUAAGUAACCUUGUGAAAUCCCACGGCUCACCCCUGUAGGAACUGCUUGGGUAUACUGGGCGUCUUGGAGCCACCUAGGGGCCAGCGGAACAAAUGGUGGAGCGGUGAAAUGCGUAGAUAUCAUUUGGAACGCCAACCGGUGAAAACAGCUGGCUGGGGGUGUGCUGACGCUGAGACACGAAAAGCCAGGGGA